AAAAUAUUUGUUUCAGAUGUGGAGCGUCCGAUCACUUUAUUCGGGAUUGUCCUGAAACAGCUAAAAGAGAAGAGAUAACGAGUGUGAGAUCAGGAAAUGCUCCUACUAGAGGUAGACCGCAGAGAAACCCAGGAGUGGGAGCGAGUAAUAGGAGUGCAUCCAGAGAUUCAGCAGCGAGAUCAGAUGUUAGAGCACCCGCGAGAACAUAUGCUAUUCGUGCUCGUGAAGAGGCGUCCUCUCCUGAUAUAAUUACGGAUCAAGAAGUACGAAACUCGAGGUUAGACAAAGGGAAGAAUAAAGUUGAAGACUAAGUUGGUGAAUUUGGCUAUAAUUGGUACCGAGUAUUGCAAAGCUACUUCAAGGAUCCUAAAGAAGUCGGAGAUCGUCCACACUAUCAACUACAACUGCUCGGUAUUUUAUAUCGAAACACGUUUGAGUUAUGGCAUGUAUAGGGAUUUAGUUAUUUUGUAUGUUUGUAAUGAUGAUUUUGCUAAUGAGUGAUGUGUAAGUAUUUGAUGAUGUAUGGUCAUUAAAAUGGUUAAGGAUGAAGGUGUUUGUUGUUAUGAAA